AAUUAGUCUCUCAACUCUGCAUUUUUUAACGGUAUCGAAAGUCUAGACUUGAUUUUUAUUUUUUUUUCCACAUAAAAAUAGUUAAAAGCGAGAGAUUGGGCGGAGCUUUAAAUGAUUUCACACAUCACGUAACUUUCGAAAUUAUAGAUUGGUCGCACGGAACAAAUGGUCAAUUUUAUUUAUUUAUCGAACCGAAAUCUUGCCUUUAGUUGAUUUAAGAUUUUUGCGAAUUGCAGGCUUACAUAUUUUUCUGUCGAAUUUUGCCAUGUGUUGCAGCUAAAAUUAAUUCCCCCAUAAAUUAUAUGGGGGAGAAGUCGAGAAUUUUGAACUGCAAACUGAAUUAGAUUUAUUUUCUCUGUGUCACUUUAGUCUAGCAUAGGGAGGAAAAAAAAGUUGUAUACAUGUUUAAUUCCCAAAGAAGUUUUGAUUAUCUGAGGAAUUCAAGUAGAUUAUCUUGGGAAUUUUGUUUUGAUAGUAGUAAAAUUAUUCUUCGGUAGUAUAUCGAAGAGACUCGUCUUUAUUUUCGGGAGAUUCUAGAGUGUUCGAUGAAAAACUUGUCUUAUAAAAUAUUGAAAUUUCGGAGGACAAUCGACAGACUAGUGCAACCCACGUAGUUAACACUUAGCCCGUGACCCGCGACCCCGUCUGAAGUGAUAUUGUAGGAUUGCACUGUAUAACCCGAGCAUCUCUUUCUAAUAAUAGAUCGGUUUGGCGCCAGCUUGGAGAUGGAUGUUUAAUUAUAGUCGCGUUUAAGUCUGUUCUCAAUCGGGAAACAUCGGCGAAGAACUGGAUUAAAAAUUCGCCCACCAUUCUUUUGACCGUUGAAAUCACGUCCGAAAUGCCUUCUGUCGGUAAUGGCCGGUACUAGAGCCUCCCCCGCCGUUUUUUCACGUGACUUGUGGCGGGCCAAUCUUGGUGGAGAUAGGGAGGACAGUGCCUUCCGCCCUUCCUAACCCGGAGGGGGUCGACAUUCCUGGCGACCGGUACCUGCUUUGCCGGCACGUUCAAGGAUGAUUCCGACUGACCUAUGACCUCAGGCGUUGUCCUUCACGCACACCGUCAAGGUGAAGCAGGUUUUCGGAAAAAAGUCUGAGUGAAACGAGGAGGAGGGAGGAACCCACCCAAAUAAGGGGGGGAGGUGUCUGGUUUUUUUUCUUUUUCGUAUAACGAGACUCUCAUUCCCCCUGUUUUUCGUUCCACCAGGCCCAGUUUCGGGCGUUUUAGUUCUGUCGUUAUCCGCUUGGGGAGCGAGGGAGUUACCAAAACCGUACAUGGUUGUCAUGGCUACGCGUGUCCAAUCGGUCGCCCGUUUGCGAGACGGGAUUUAUUUUCUAUUUUUAAGUGUCGCUUAAAGUCACUUGUCUGGAAUUUCUCUCUUCACCAUUAAAAAAAAGAAAGAAAAGUCUGCCUAGUAUACGGAAUAUUAAUUAUUGUAUCGGAGAAUUAAAUAAUUCUUUCCAUCCGGUUCAGUGACAUUUAAGCCCUAUUGGGUGCGGACCAAUCGAUUCUGCGUAUUUCCGAUUAAUCAGGUUGAACGGGCGUGGUCCGCUGCUUUGCUUUCACAUGAUUAUUUGUCAGGUUUGCUUUCGCUCGCCUUUUAAACUCCAAGUCGAUCGCUUCAGACGUGUAAGUGCGGCCCGAGUUCCCGGGCAUAGUUAUCUUUGGAGCGUCAGCGCGGCGCCCUCUGACGUUAUUUAUACUCCAUUGGCAGCCCAACAAUUUACCCUCGCACAAGACUCCACACUGCAUCGAACUGUUUUCUACUAUAAGAUAAAAAGUCUCGAUAAACUACCGUCAGCAUUUUUAUACACUCUAUUCAUGCAUCCAUCCGAAUAAUUAAAUAAAUUACCGAUUCAUAUAUAUUUUAACCUUUCACACAGUUUAUUUUUUAACCAGAAAUCAUGUCUCAGACCUGUUGUCUCCAGUUUUAUUCCAACAGAAAGGUUUACUCUUCAUUUUUCUAAGAAAACCAAGAGAGUUCUUUCCAUCGAAUGGAUACGUUCGAUUUCCGGUUGUUUUUUUUUUCUUUCUUUUUGUUUUUCUUUCUAUUGGCCCUUCAUCUGAUGAAUUAUCUUGGCAGUCGACUCGAUUUUGUUUUUCUUUUUCCC
rnacentral:lncRNA from 1 species